CAAGAGUGCAUCUUCUCUCAGCAAUUGCUAUUGAGAGACCUUGAAUCUUACAACACUUCAGAGAAUCUCAUCAAGGCUAUCAGAUUACACAAUUGCAGUGUAUUAUUGUCAUCAAAAAUGUUCUUAAAACCUUGUCUUUUUAUAUGAGGAAUUAUGGGAAGUAUUCUCCAGACUGAUUUUAACUUCUCAUAAACUAGCACUGGAAAAUCACCAUGACAAAGCUUCUAAUCUGCUCCUCAAAUCUGUCCUGACAGAUCCAGCAAGUGAAAGGACUAAGUGUUCGGAGGACUGCAAAGUGCAUCAAGCUUAUUCUAGACCCUGUGCAUUCCUUCCUCCCUUCUUCUCUGGAGCAGCAAGUGUGAUCUUUCUCUGGACUGGAGCAGGAUGAUUCAAGACUCUGGCAUGGGUUGGGAGUGGACAUGGAUACAGCAGACAUAAUGUGAGACUCCUCUAGUGUAGCUAAUGUGAAAACAUCCCUCACCAGAUGUCAGUGCCUUCAUCUUGAACUUCAGCCUCCAGAGCUGUGAGAAAUCUGUGCUGGUUUUAAGCCAUUUGGCCAUGAAGCACGUUCUUAAAUUACCUGCACAUAAACAAGGAAGAAAUCCAGCCAGGAAGUGAUAGCCCAAGGCAUGGAGGAAGCCAAGUCAGCUAGAGCUGGUGCAGCUGCCCACCUUACAGCUUGCAGACUCUGUGCUGACCCAUGCCUGUGUAUGCGGCUUUGGCCUAUUCAUCCUCUCCUUAGGACUCCCUGGCCAUGCAUAUCAGCAACUGCAAUUACACUCCUGGUCUGGCCGCUCUGCACAUUCCCUGCCUGGGUGCCAACGCUGGGCCUAGUCAAGCAGGGAGGAGAUGAAAGGAGGUCAUGUGUGGGCACGCAUGCCCAGUCUAUGCCAUAGAUGUUUGCCCUGCCUGCUGGAAACAGGCCUUUCCAGUGCAGCCUGCAGUAAAUAAGCCUCCAGCUCCACUGGGCACUGUGAUUCCCUCUCCUCCCACUGCCAUUGGCAAAAACCAACAGAGUUUUAAAAAAUGGACAUUUCUCUCCUUUCUGAAAAAACACUGCGCUGGUUUAAAUAAUUCAAAAGAAAAGACAUUCCUUCCUCUUUUUCUCCAAAAGCCCACAUGUUCCCUAAAAUCAGAGGCUUAGCUCUUAAGGUCAGUUGGUAAAAUAAAGCGGGGGGGGGGCGCAGUGACAGUUAAUGUGAGCCCACAUGACGUAGGCUGUGUGACAAGACAGCAUGGUGGCAGGCCACAUGCCAAGGCAACAUGGCAGUGCUCCAGAACAAAACAGAAAAACCAGAGAGAAAGCCAUUUACAAACUGGGGUGGGUGGAGACCAGGCUAAUUUCCAAGAAGGGUAACAAAUGUGCAGACAACAAGGCAUACUAAGCUCUAAGUCAUGCACAUCGUGCAGCAAGCUCUCUGGAUACUUAGCUUGUACUGGCAAAGUGAGCAUAGCAGAAAAAAAGUCUCUUGUAGCUGGAAGAAAAACAAAGGCCAUAUAUUCCUUCUCCAUCCCCCAUGUGGUGGGAAAAGCAGCAAAUAGUUCUCUGCACAUCAUGAGAAGAGUCCCCUGA
ensembl:lncRNA